rnacentral:rRNA from 1 species
UACAGAGGUCUCAAGCGUUGUUCGGAAUCACUGGGCGUAAAGGGUGCGUAGGCGGCACGGUAAGUCAGAGGUGAAAUCCCGGAGCUCAACUUCGGAAUUGCCUCCGAUACUGCCGUGCUUGAGGACUGGAGAGGAGAUUGGAAUUCACAGUGGAGCAGUGAAAUGCGUAGAUAUUGUGAGGAACACUAGUGGCGAAGGCGAAUCUCUGGACAGUUCCUGACGCUGAGGCGCGAAAGCUAGGGGAGCAAACGGG